rnacentral:rRNA from 1 species
AUACGUAGAGUGCAAGCGUUAAUCGGAAUUACUGGGCGUAAAGCGUGCGCAGGCGGUUUUGUAAGACAGUGGUGAAAUCCCCGGGCUCAACCUGGGAACUGCCAUUGUGACUGCAAGGCUGGAGUGCGGCAGAGGGGGAUGGAAUUCCGCGUGUAGCAGUGAAAUGCGUAGAUAUGCGGAGGAACACCGAUGGCGAAGGCAAUCCCCUGGGCCUGCACUGACGCUCAUGCACGAAAGCGUGGGGAGCAAACAGGAUUAGAUACCCUGGUAGUCCACGCCCUAAACGAUGUCAACUGGUUGUUGGGGAUUUAUUUUCUCAGUAACGAAGCUAACGCGUGAAGUUGACCGCCUGGGGAGUACGGCCGCAAGGUUAAAACUCAAAUGAAUUGACGGGG